UGAUAUAGCUCAGUCGGUAGAGCAGCUCAUUCGUAAUGAGCAGGUCGUCGGUUCAAGUCCGACUAUCA
rnacentral:tRNA from 1 species